GAAUUUCUGGCCUGUUUUCUUUCCAGAGCAGAAGGUGGGGAGAUGGUUUGGUGUGAAGGGAGUCUGUCUGUGGGAUCUGGUGUUUCCACUGCAGAUCUCAGGUGUUCCUCAGCCAGGGCUCUGCAGAGCUGUGAAAACACACACAACAGGCUGCUUCCCUCAGGCCUGAGCUCUCCACCUGCCCUGCAAGCAAAUUCCUACUGUCUCUCUCUGUCUUUUUAUUUUAGAGGUGUCACAUCAGCAGCUGAUUGAGGAGAGAUUGAAGGCUGAGAGAGAACAGUGAUAGAUGGACUAAUGCCAGACUCAGAAAAGGCUUCCUUAGCUGCUAAAUAAGAGGUACUCAAGCUCCCAGGGCGGUGUGGAGGACACAGACUCCGUGAAGAGGAGAGGGAUGAGGGUGCUCUGUCAGACCCACAGCUUUCUUGCAGAAGAGAUUGCCACUCACUGCAUUUGUUUCAGCUCAGAAAGGGGAUGUCUUCUUGUCAGGAUGCCUGCAGCAUGUGUGCUGGAGAGCCACUCAGCUCUCAAAGCCCCCUGUAAAAAUAAACCCGGUAAAAAUAA